CUGAGAGACACUAUGAGACAUGGGACACUGAGAGACACUGAGAGACACUGUGAGACUCUGUGAGACAUGGGACUGUGUGAGACAUGAGACACUGAGAGACAUGGGGGGAGGGAGGACGACACUGAGAUACACUGUGAGACUCUGUGAGACAUGGGACACUGAGAGACUGUGAGACAUGGGACACUGAGAGAUACUGAGAGACAUGGGACACUGAGAGACUCUGUGAGACAUGGGACACUGAGAGACUGUGAGACAUGGGACACUGAGAGACAUGGGACACUGAGAGACUGUGAGACAUGGGACACUGAG